rnacentral:miRNA from 1 species
GCUAUUAGGUUGGCGCAAAAGUAAUCGUGGUUUUUGUCAUUACUUGUAAAAUUGUAAAAACCAUUAAUUGUAAAAACCAUGAUUACUUUUGCACCAGCCUAAUACGU